AGAAGGCCCACAAGACAACUAUACGGAUCGCUAAAUCUAUAACAGAAAAAUUUGCAUUGGUGUUUUGUGAUUAGGAAGACACCUUAUGCCAAACUGUUAGUUAAAUUUGGUGAAUAUAAAAUUUGAAAAAGAAGAGUUUGCAAAAUAGAUGGAUGACAAGUAAAAACACUUUGUUCUCGUGAAGGUGUACUGAAUUAAGUCGGACAGUGGGGAAGGGUAAAUACUCACAAUUAUAUUAUCUAAUUGACAUCGG
rnacentral:misc_RNA from 1 species